rnacentral:lncRNA from 1 species
ACUGCGCAUGCUCCCCAGCUGGGCCGGCUGCGGACGCGGGAAGGGAGGUGGUGGCGACUGACGGAACUGGGUGAAGGAUUCUUUCUUUGAUUUUAUAAGCUGACAUGAUUGCUUGUUCUGUUGUGAAUGCACGCUGCUCUGGGCCUCAGUUAACCCAUCACACCUGAGCUCCACGCUGUCCACGGGUGCUUUUUCUGCAGUGUUAACGUCAUCUUCAUGGUCGGUAUCAUCACGAUCACCUUGAUUCAGAACCAUUCUGGCUAUUUCCCCAACAGUCAAUGAAAUGAACAACCGGAGCCUCAUUAUCAAUGUUAAAAAUGACAUUAAUGUGUACUUCUUCCCGCUGACUGAUGAACUCUGAAGGUAUAUUUUUUGGAGGUCAGACAUCCUUUUCUUCUCACUUGACAAGCUGAAUUCUUCUAAACCACCACCUGGUUCAUCAUCAUCACUGAACACAGUCGUAGGCCAGAGGUCACGCCAGGCACGCACAUCUGUGUCUUUAGUCACUGUGUUGCAAGCGUUGGCAACAGCAUGUAUGGCAUCCUUCAUGCUCAGCUCCUGAAAAUCUUCUACACCUACACCUCCGUUCACUGCUGCGAGCGUGCAAUUCAAGACAGUGUUUUUAUAUUUACUUUUCAUUGAUCUAAAGAUACCCUGGUUACAGGCUCAACUAAUGAAGUCACGUUUGGGGGAAAGUACACAGCAUCAAUAUUAUCUUUGAUGAGAAUUUCAGCUGGAGGAUGAGCAGAACAGUAGUCAAGGCAUAAGAAAAUCUUGCUGUCAUCAUCCGGUCCAACUUUUCUGCAGCGAGCACAAGAGGCCUGUACGAAGUGUUUGUAAAACCGAUCAGAAAAGAUGUCCCUGGUGAUCUAUGCCUUUUUGUUAGCAUAAUAAUGGACUGCUUCUGCAGAUGGCCUCCCCUCUCUGCGACUGGUUCCUUAUCGAGGCAAUGGAGAUGUGGACUGCGGUGACUGAUCAAGCCUCACAUAUCUACUGAAUCAGGAAGCCCGAAGGCCUGAGGCCUCCCGAGUGGCCCCAUGGGAGCGUCGUGCAUUUUUCUGGUCAGUCAGUCAUUAGGGGAAACGAUGAAUGAGCCAGGCCAGCAUGAGAAGGCCUGCAUGCUAUCGGAUCUUUUUCCUGAAAACAUCGACAUGGGACAUGUUCAAACCAAAUUUUCUUUAUAAGUUAUAAGAAAAUCAGGCGGAGGCUAAACUUUUUUUUUUUUUUGGCAAUGCUGUUGAGAAUAUUACAUUAUGUUCCCACAAUAGCAUAAAUGUAUGUCUUAUCACUUGAAUGGAGCCCAGACAAUAAAAGGGCGCCUGAGAGUGGAAAUACGCCUAUGAGAAAGGCCAAGCCAGCCUUUCGUGAUAACAGCAGCAGGGAGGGAAGAGUGCACAGAGCUGACCACAGCACAAAUGUCGCAGACCCUUGAGGACCGCGCCAGGGCUCAGAGCUCCACCCAAGGGCUUGUGAUCCUCACCCCAGCCAAGUUCCUUCAGACCCCAGGGUCUUCGUUUCGUGACUUAUAAAAUGGGAAUUAUAUGUCAUGGGAGUGUUGGGGGGAAAAUGCAACCAUUAGCAAAUGCUUUCAAAUAUAAUAUGUAUUAUCAAUAUCAGGUAAAGGUAACAUUUUAUUUCCUAGGGCCGGGAAUUUGAUUUUUGUUUUCCCGUUUAUUUUUAUCCAUGUUCAACCACCCACAAGUGUGCUCUCUCAAAACGCAAAAAAAAAAAAAAAAACAAAACAAAAAAACCAAACAACAACCCCAUUUCUCCUUCUGGUUGAAUGAUUCAUCAAGAAUCUUGGCCCAAGUACAAUACAGUUUCAGGGAAAAAAGACUCCAGGGAAUGAAGAGGGAACGUAAUCAUGCCCUUUCCGAUAACCCCGUUAUUAGGCAACGCGGCGCAGAUGAAAUUCUCCAGGGAGCAAGUGAGUGAGGCGUGGCUUACAUUUUGUAUACUGAGCCCUGUUGAGUGACUUCACACCUCCACUCCCUGUUCUAUGCCAGCAAGGUGGGGCAGCUGGGGUGGCGGGCGAGCUGAGGGUCACCUCAGAGCUGAGGUCGAAAGAAAUUCUUACAAGUAAAAUAAUCACUAACAAUUUUUAUCGUCAUAGAUAUGGAGUUGUUGGUCUUGAGAGGCAGACUGUGCAGGAACAAAGGCUGGCGGGUGGACUGUGGUGCUCGGAUGCUGCAGUCCCAGGGGAAGAGCUGUCGUUUCAGUACCCACCUUCCUUUCCCUCCUCUGGCCACAGAAUACUAAUAAUAAUAAAGAAAGGAAAAGAAAAGAAACUUCUCAGAGAGGUUCCUAGUGGCUAAAAAACUCCUGGUUCUCCACCCCCUGUGAGUUUACGACAUCUGCAAA